UGUAAAGAAAAACAGAUGACUGUAUGGCC
rnacentral:piRNA from 1 species